ACACAUGAUUACGUGACUGACUCACCGAGGGAGUGACCGGGCACACCAGCUGAGGCGGUGACUUCAUUGAGGAAGAGGAAGCUUAGGCUACAUCCCACCAAGGUGUGUCAUUUUCAUCUUAAGAAGAGGAUAGACUUAUGCAAGUUGCCAGGUCGUGUUCUAUCUCCAGGCACUGUUUUCCUGUCUGCCCAUCUUUUUGUAUUUAAAGUUAUCCAGAGAACACGUCCAGUUGAAAAGACUUUCUCUUUUAUUUGUAAAACCAUAUAUGACCAUACACACACACAAACACACACACACGCACACUUAUAUAAGUAUGUAUGUAUGUGUGUGUUUGUACCUAUAUAUAUUUGUGUGUGUGUGUGUGUGUGUGUGUGUGUGUAUAUAUAUCUUACUCGGAUAACUUGGAAAAUAUUUAACUGCUAUUCCGCAUCGUGUUGGCCUGGGUUAAGAGAACAGCAGGCUAGGGAGCUGACAUAGAUAACAUAGAGCCUGGCUCCCGCUGUUUUCACUCAGCCCUGGUGAUCUGUCUUGGAGAGAAAGUAAAUCAGUGCUCUAAUAAUAAAAGUAAGUCCCCAAGGAACUGAAUUCAUAGCAACAUAAUAUUUGAAAACUAGGAUUUACAUUUUGAAAGCUUCAUAAAGUGUCCUGGCGCCUUUCUUUGUUGGUUUAAAGAGACAGCAAGGAGACAGAUGGGAGAAUUUUGGUUAAGCAUUUUGCUGGGGUAACAGUUCCCUCCCCCUUUUAAGUUCAAGGUAUAAAGACAUAUUUCAAACCUUAGCGGGUGGGGACUGGGAGAGAUGGAAUAAAGGUAAAUCCAUGCUUGGUAUAAGAGUUCAGAGAACAAUUUAAAAUUUAUAUUAAGUUCAUAAACACCUGGACUUUCCCAAACACUGGUCAGAUUUGGUCACAAGAAAGCCCCUCACAAGAUUUUUCCAAGUUACUUCCUGCUCCAAUCAGGAUAUACAUACAAGUAUCUUUUCUCAAUAUGUCUCUGCUUUUGUUUCAAGUGAUGUAUAUAUAUGAUUGGAAUGCAAAAUGAGAAAACACACUUCAAGAGUCCCAGGUGUGACGCAGUGGGAAAGAAUUCGACUAGUAUCCAUGAGGAUGCAGGUUUGAUCCCUGGCCUCAUUCAAUGGGUUAAGGAUUCAAUGUUGCUGUGAGCUGUGGUGUAGGUUGCAGAUGCGGCUGGGAUCCUGUGUUGCUAUGGCUAUGACAUAGGCUGGGGCGGCUACAGCUCCAAUUUGACCCCUAGCCUGGGAACUUCCAUAUGCCUUGGAUACAGCCCUAAAAGACAAAAAAAAAAAGGAAAACAUAUAUGCUGAGACAUGAUUUUACCUUUAGGAAAACUAUAGAAUAUAAGGCAAAUUUUAAAGAUUUUUUCCUUUGUAUCCAAAAAACAAAUAUACCAACUGGCUUUAAAGAGGAAACAAAUAGAUAAGAAUAACAUUUACAAUUUCUACAUUUUUCUGUAGUAGGGAGCAAUUACUUAGAACCGUAGAGAACUGCAAAUAGUAUAUUUUCAGUUUAGAGGGAAAGUUGGAAACUUACAGCAGAAGUUUCAAAGCCUAACUUCUGAGCACUGAGCCUUUGCCAAUACACACCAUUUAUUUUUGGCUCCAUGUGUGCUUACAGAGUUUGCUUAUACCAAGUUCUUUGUAGCCUUUGAUUUUUAUCCAAAAGAUUUGUUCAACACCCGUAAUGAGCUCCCCUCUCAGGCAGGUUAGUGGCCUUCCUAUAGGGGCUGAAAUGUUUGCACUAGUUUGGCUCAUUUUAAACAAACAUAUCAAACCAAUGAUGGCAGUGGAGAAAAUACACAGGAACCCAGUGCUGGGGCCUCAAGUCACAGCAGGAAUGAUUCAUCAGCAACGCAGUCAGAGUUCCCAGAGUCAUUUCCAUUUUACUCCUAGACUGGAAGAUAAGGAUAGAACUGACUUUUUAAAAAACUAAGUUUAAAAUUUUUGACCUCUCCUAUUUGGUAAUAUUUAUUAAACACAUAUUUAUUAAACUCCAUUCUUCCUAGUCCCUAAAAUAUUUGAGGGCAGAAAUCUCACAAGUGUUGGAAAACUCUUCAAGGACAUCCAUGAGGAUAACAGUUUAUAAAAACUUGAUUAUGAAGUCUAAUCAUAUCGAUUUAAGGGAGGACAAAGAGAUGUCUUACAAAAAGGCACAAAUAAUCAAACUCUAAUUUUGCUUUAUUUUAAAUUUGUCAAGUCCACUGAUUCAGUUUUUCUAGGGAGAAGUCUAAACGACCAUAUACUUCUUGAAAAGGUAAUGAGUCAUAUGUUUUAGUUAACAAUUUAUUCAGCAAACAUGUCAAAGAAGCUUGGAAACAAGCAACUAUGUUAAUUUAGUUUAUUACCCAAAAGGUGUGGAGUUCAGAAUCAUUACCCAAGUAAUGAUUUCAAUUUAGAAUAAGACUCAGAUCUGAGAAUAUGUUACAUAUUAGAGGUGAGGGGGGCUGCACGCAAAUUCCAGCCAGCCACUCAGACAUCAGCUAUUAAUUACGUAUUUAUGUGGCAAGUACUAUGCUCAACAAUGGAUAUGUGGAAAUGAAGAGUUGACACUGAGUCACUCACAGUCCAGUGAGUGUCUGAGUGUGUAACAGAUUAUUGUAGUACACCAUGACAAGUGCUGUGACAGAGGUGUCACCAGGCACUCUAAGAAGGGUCACAAGACAGUGAUUGCCUCAGAGCACCGGAAAAGGCUCCUGAAUGAGGUGAUCUUUGAGUUGGGUCUUGGAGGAGGAGCAAGUGUCUUUCCGAUGAGGGAGGAGCUGGUCAUUCCAGGCAAGGGAACUAACUACCUACGCUAAGAUACAGAGUCCUACAAUCAGCACAUCUUUUCAAAAAGCUGAAUAUUACUGGAGUGUACUUAGCCUGUACAUGAGAACAAGGACAAGGGAUAGGAUGAUGGGUGGAUUCUCCCAUGAUUUUCCUGUAUCACUCUUGUCUGUUCAUUCACUUUAUAAAAUAAGACAAAGCGAUCCCUAAGUUUCAAAAUGUUACGACCCC
rnacentral:lncRNA from 1 species